rnacentral:misc_RNA from 1 species
AAGUCGUAACAAGGUUUCCGUAGGUGAACCUGCGGAAGGAUCAUUCUAAAGAGUGGAUAAGAUUAGUUUUUGUGACUAGUUUUAUUUCGCGCGAUACCUGUGUUUUGGAGAGAGUGGGUAGAUUUGGGGAUGGGUAUGAGUUUUUGGAUUGUUAGUUGAUGUGGUUCACAUGAAGAAUGUUGACUAGCAGCCAGGAGUACAUUCCCGCCUCGAUCCAACCACCAUCAUUGCUUGAUUGCAGUGACCCUAUCUAUCUAUACAAUCAAUAUCAUCAAUAUCAUCAUGACAGUUCGUCUGAAAUAUAAUCAUACACAACUGUUGGCAACGGAUCACUCGGCUCUC